rnacentral:lncRNA from 1 species
UUGUAUUGCUUUUCUUUUAGUCAAUAAAGAAAAUAUUCAACAAAAAUCCUUUUUAUUCAAAACAUUCCAUACAUAAAACAAACCACAACCAAAGCAUAAAAAAUAAACAACCCACAACCAAAGCAUAAAACAUAAACAACCCACUCACAACAAAAAAUAAACAACAUACAACAUAAACAUAAUAAAAUAAAAACAACUUCUUC